GAUGAACGCUAGUGGUAUGCUUAACACAUGCAAGUCGGACGAGAGUUUUAACUCUAGUGGCGGACGGGUGAGUAAUACGUGAGAACUUUCCCUUAGGAGGGAAAUAACAAUGGGAAACUGUUGCUAAAGUCCCAUAUACCCUUUUGGUGAAAUGGAGAAAUCUGCCUAAGGAAAGGCUCGCGCCUGAUUAGCUAGUUGGUGGGGUAAAUGCCUACCAAGGCGAUGAUCAGUAGCUGGUUUGAGAGGAUGAUCAGCCACACUGGAACUGAGACACGGUCCAGACUCCUGCGGGAGGCAGCAGUGAGGAAUUUUCCGCAAUGGGCGCAAGCCUGACGGAGCAAUACCACGUGAGGGAUGAAUGCCUUUGGGUUGUAAACCUCUUUUUCAGGGUAGGAAGUUCUGACGUGUACCUGAAGAAUAAGCAUCGGCUAACUCCGUGCCAGCAGCCGCGGUAA
rnacentral:rRNA from 1 species